AGCUUGUUUUGACCGUGACAAUAAUCGUGCGCGCGUUAUGAAGUUACACAGUGUUACGACGUACGCUGGUGAAAAUGAUUUUACACCUCGUGUCUACAGGUGUAAAGAUUCCAUUAAAAACCUGAAAAUAAAAGUACGUUUCCAGCUACCAAAGACAAGAAACAUACCUAUUCCACAGUUUACACCAAGAGAAAAUGACAAACAACACACUAAUGCAAAUGAUAAUACACCAGAAUAUGAAGAACAUACAUUUAGUUGGCAAGAGAAAGUAUUUAGCAAGUCUGAAGUCGAAUUUUAUCGCCACAGUGGUAACUGCAGGACACCACUUCAAGAGCAGUACCAUCAGGAAGUUUCAGAGUGGUCUGAUGAUACAGGGCAUCUGUUUACAUAUAUUGAUGCAGAUGGCUUCAGUGAAGAGGUGAGUGUUACAACUGGACAGCAGAAUUGUGCUGCAGGAAAUGGUAAACUAGAACUGUUGAAAAAACAGAGUUUUAUUCGCCGUAAACCCAAGAUCACACAAGGUAAUAUUGUCAAUGACUCUCCUUCUGCAGAGGCAAAAAAACAAAAUCAUUCCCUGCAGAUAUGUGAGCAACUUAUGUAUAUCAUGGCAGACCUCACUGAUAUUAGCAGUGUUGGUGGGGAAAGCACCUCUGUGGGCCAGACUAGUGUACUACCAACAGAAGUUGUCCUUUGUCGUUUGUCAUGGAACAGGCAGUGUGGCCUUUUGACUAUAAUGCCAGAUUUCUCCCCUACUUCACUGGAUGGUAAGUGUGAACCUUACCUGCUGGAAGUGGGAGGAGAUGCACGUAACGCUUGUCGUUACUGGUUGUAUCAUGUCUCAGAGCAGCCAGAUGAUAACAUAAAGGUGCCAGCUUUGUCACUUGGUAUUAGCCAUCUGAGCUUAGGAACAGACUUCAAGACUCCAGAACAAGGAACAGUACAGUUAACUGUACUAGUUGAAAUUGUAUCAGCCUCGGGCUAUGAUUUUGAUGGUCUUUUCAUUGAGUACUGCUUUGAACUGCCUGAUGGCUGGUCAGGUCCAUCUCCUGCGCUUCUUGCAGGAGCAACACAUCGGUCAAAUAAAAAUGACAAAGGAGAAGCAUUUUUUGGCUACAUUUUUGAAGUUGAGCUUGCAAGCACAGAUGACAUAGAAACACAGUGCCUUCGGCCCCAGCUACUGAUGCGAGUUGCUUCACUAGAUAGUUGGGGCCGUUUCCGUGUGGAAGGCUACUGCCAUGUACCUUUACCUAACAGCGCAGGUCGUCACACUCUUUCUAUACCCUCUUGGCGGUUCACACCGGAUGGACACUUACAUGAAAUGAGACGUUUCUUUAUCGGAGGUGGUUGUAAUGUUUCAAUGGACAUAGCUGGAGUGCCAGAUGCAGUAAAGGGUAAACCAGUACUUGGCAAGUUUGGCUUGCGUACUGUUAGCAGUGGCACGGUCACAGUUCGAAUGGACAUUAUUCACCAGACAUCUGAAAGGGCAGAGGGUUGGGGGAAGAAUGUGCCCCAUCACCUGUCAUCAUCAGCAUUACUUAACAGUGUGGAAGCUGUGAUUGCUGCUUUCAGCAGAGCUCGUCACAGGAUGCUACGAGCAAGGCAGGGCCUCGAUGUGCCAUAGACAACUGUUCAGUGGAACCUGUCAUAUAGUGCCAAGCACAGUGUGUUCCAACAGCAAAGAGGAUCAACUUGCAUUCUGCUUAGUGCAGUGGUUGCAAUCAGGGAGUGUGAGUUCAAGUAAGACAAAUCAAAGUGGUUCAUUCAUUCACAAGCAAGUUGAGAUGCUUUUUGUCUGUGAUCAAGGACAUAGAUAUGAUCGAAGGCCACACAGAUUUACUGAGCCACUUACCUUGAUGGAGAGCACCACCUAUCUGUGUUUGUGUUACCAGAUAUCCUUUCAGAGAGAUGAACAACGUGGUUGAGAUCGACAUGUUUGUACACCAGCUCUGCAAUGACAAAUCUAUGCAGUACUGAGAGGAAUACUAGUACAAGUGCCACACACAUGAUCUCCCAGCAUGGAGUGAAUGAAAGAAUGCUGUGCAUCCUGUGUGAAAACUAGUACCAUUCCUGUCACCCGCAACAUGUGCCAGGAUUAUCAGCAGUAGGAUUUCCUUCAAAAGAAGGCUUUGCAACAUACCCCUACCAUUAAGAAAUUUCUGUUGUAAGUAUUAUUCACUGAUCAUGUA